AACGAACGCUGGCGGCAUGCCUAACACAUGCAAGUCGAACGAGACCUUCGGGUCUAGUGGCGCACGGGUGCGUAACGCGUGGGAAUCUGCCCUUGGGUUCGGAACAACAGUUGGAAACGACUGCUAAUACCGGAUGAUGACUUCGGUCCAAAGAUUUAUCGCCCAAGGAUGAGCCCGCGUCGGAUUAGCUAGUUGGUGAGGUAAAAGCUCACCAAGGCGACGAUCCGUAGCUGGUCUGAGAGGAUGAUCAGCCACACUGGGACUGAGACACGGCCCAGACUCCUACGGGAGGCAGCAGUGGGGAAUAUUGGACAAUGGGCGAAAGCCUGAUCCAGCAAUGCCGCGUGAGUGAUGAAGGCCUUAGGGUUGUAAAGCUCUUUUACCCGGGAUGAUAAUGACAGUACCGGGAGAAUAAGCCCCGGCUAACUCCGUGCCAGCAGCCGCGGUAAAAC
rnacentral:rRNA from 1 species